UUGGUUCUAAGGUGUACGCGUUGUCUCACUACAAGUUGCCGAACAAGUAAUUUAUAUAUGGGAAUGUUCUAUGGUGGAGAAGAUGGCAGGCCUUUUCACUUGGAAGUCAGACACUCCAACAGACAUUCCCCCCUGCAUUGUCAUCGCGGGUCAACAUGACUGGACAAUUAACGGCACCACUUAGAUCAACC
rnacentral:other from 1 species